UACAGAGGUCCCAAGCGUUGUUCGGAUUCACUGGGCGUAAAGGGUGCGUAGGUGGCAUGGUAAGUUUGAUGCGAAAUCUCCGGGCUUAACCCGGAAAUGGCAUUGAAUACUACUGUGCUGGAGGUUUGGAGGGGGGACUGGAAUUCUCGGUGUAGCAGUGAAAUGCGUAGAUAUCGAGAGGAACACCAGUGGCGAAGGCGAGUCCCUGGACAACACCUGACACUGAGGCACGAAAGCUAGGGGAGCAAACAGG
rnacentral:rRNA from 1 species